UACAGAGGGUGCGAGCGUUGUCCGGAUUUACUGGGCGUAAAGCGCACGUAGGCGGAUCGUUAAGUCGGGGGUGAAAUCCUGGAGCUCAACUCCAGAACUGCCUUCGAUACUGGCGAUCUAGAGUCCGGAAGAGGUGAGUGGAACUCCUAGUGUAGAGGUGGAAUUCGUAGAUAUUAGGAAGAACACCAGUGGCGAAGGCGGCUCACUGGUCCGGUACUGACGCUGAGGUGCGAAAGCGUGGGGAGCAAACAGG
rnacentral:rRNA from 1 species